UCUGGGCCCAACGCAGGAGGCCCUCAGCACCCGAAAACAUCUUCCUCCUCCCCACCCGAGCCUGGAGCACUCUAACCCUCGGAGACCCCCUAAGCCCCGUUCCUCCGCAGACCCAGGCCCUCCGGAAGGGGAAGUCGGGGUCAACUCCCAGGCCUCAGAUGCAGGGGCCCAGAACACCUGCUCUCACCUGAGCCCCAGGUGAAGGGGCCCGGAACACCUGCUCUCACCUGAGCCCCAGGUGAAGGGGCCCGGGAACACCUGCUCUCACCUGAGCCCCAGGUGAAGGGGCCCGGAACACCUGCUCUCACCUGAGCCCCAGGUGAAGGGGCCCGGGAACACCUGCUCUCACCUGAGCCCCAGGUGAAGGGGCCCGGGAACACCUGCUCUCACCUGAGCACCCGGUGAAGGGGCCUGGAACACUUGCUCUCACCAGAGCUCCAGGUGAAGGGGCCUGGAACACCUCCUGUCACCUGAGCCCCAGGUGAAGGGGCCCGGGAACACCUCUCACCUGAACCCGGGGGUCCCAUCCCAGGAAGAAGGGCCAUCUCAGGACAUGAGUCCUCAGGGGCCCUGCACAUUCAAUCUGAAGGUGACCCUGGCCUGGCUGAAGCUGGAAGAGCUGUGGGGACUCAGCCUGUAAACAGAGCGUAAGGUUCACAUGCUGGUUGCUUAAUCCGUUUCUGGAGGAAAAGUAUGACCCCCACUUGUGAUGGGGUCCUUGUGCGGUGGGGACCGGGGCCGGCGGGCUCCAGGCCAGCACACCUAACCCAUGGAUGUGGAACCUACGGCCCAGAAGGAAUGUUGCAUGAGUCGGAUCCCAGUCCAUUGUCAGUGGAGGGUGAGGGUGACCCCAUCUGAUAUUUUUGUGCUCAUCCUCAUACAACCAUUUGGGGAUGUGCCUAUUAGGGCUCCGUAAGAGCUCAGAUGCCUGGGAAGCCCAGCCCCUCAGGUGCCCCCACACACAGCCUUCCCUUGACGCCUACAUUUCUAGGCACAUGUGAGGCAUCUUUCCUGGAGCCCCGAGCCAGCCCUGUCCCUCCCCAGUGCAGCAUGGCACUCAGGAGAUACAGGCUGGACAUGGGGCAGUCGUUCUGGGGAG
rnacentral:lncRNA from 1 species